UACGUAGGGUGCGAGCGUUAAUCGGAAUUACUGGGCGUAAAGUGUGCGCAGGUGGCCGCGCAAGUCGAGUGUGAAAUCCCCGAGCUUAACUUGGGAAUUGCGCUCGAAACUACGUGGCUCGAGUGUGGCAGAGGAAGGUGGAAUUCCACGUGUAGCGGUGAAAUGCGUAGAGAUGUGAAGGAACACCGAUGGCGAAGGCAGCCUUCUGGGCCAACACUGACGCUCAUGCACGAAAGCGUGGGGAGCAAACAGG
rnacentral:rRNA from 1 species